GGGAUAUAGCUCAGUUGGUUAGAGCGUUACGUUGACAUCGUAAAGGUCAUAGGUUCGAGCCCUACUAUCCCC
rnacentral:tRNA from 1 species